GGGGAAGGUCAGUCUCCAGGCUGAGGGCAGACUCUGUUUAGGAGAGAAGAUGAUCAGGCCUGCAAGCUCUAUGCUCCCAAGAGCCCGUGACUUUCUUCUCCAAAUCCAGCACAUUGGAUAGAACUGCAUGCAGCCCCUCCUCCAAUUGUCAGUUUCAGUUCAGCAGUGUUCUUCCUCAUUUAUAGACUUCAAUCAUCACAAAAUGGGAUUUCUUACUGAUGACUUCUUACACGACUGUGAAGCCCUAAACCACAGCACCUAAGACUGCUUCAGAAGCAACAGUUCCACAACACUUGCCCCAUAAGUUCCAGGGUUGGGCAACACCUGUUCCUUUUUCCACAUGAAUGUUGUUGUUUUUUUUAAGUUCCAUCACUGUCUGCCACAAAUGGGGAUGACCACCUACUUCAUAAGCACACAAAGAAGAAAAGGAGACAAAGCAUAACACAGCUUUGUAUUGAAUAAUGUAUCACAUCAUAUAUCAGCAAGCUACCCUGUCACAUGUCACUUCAUCACAUAUUAACAUAACACACUAUCAAGUCACACUGCCGGGUCCAUUCUCUAUGGCUUGUUUUAGCCAUAGUGCUUGUAACGAAGGACAACAUGACUUGAAAAGCAUAUUGUCUUGCAUUAAAUCUUCCUACAUUUAUCUUCCUG